CAAAAGACUUUUUGCAACGGAUAUUUUGGCUCUCGCAUCGAUGAGGAAAGUAGCGAAAAUCGAUACUUGGGGUGAAAUGCAGAAUCCCCUGAACCCUCGAGUUUUUGAAAGCAAAAUGCGCCCGAAACCCCUAGGGCGAAGGCACGUUUUCCCGGGGGUCCCGC
rnacentral:rRNA from 1 species